GAAAUGCGAUAAGUAAUGUGAAUUGCAGAAUUCAGUGAAUCAUCGAAUCUUUGAACGCACCUUGCGCUCCUUGGUAUUCCUUGGAGCAUGCCUGUUUGAGUAUCAUGAAAUCUUCAAAGAAAAUCUUUUGUUAACUCAAUUAGUUUCUACUUUGGUAUUGGAGGUCUUUGCAGCUUCACACCUGCUCCUCUUUGUUCAUUAGCUGGAUCUCAGUGUUAUGCUUGGUUCCACUCGGCGUGAUAAGUUAUCUAUCGCUGAGGACACUGUAAAAGGUGGCCAAGGUAAAUGCAGAUGAACCGCUUCUAAUAGUCCAUUGACUUGGACAAUACUUUUAUGAUCUGAUCUCAAAUCAGGUAGGACUACCCGCUGAACUUAAGC
rnacentral:misc_RNA from 1 species